UUUUUAAAGCGAAUAAGGGCGCAUGGUGGAUGCCUAGGGUCUGAGAGGCGAUGAAGGACGUGGUAAGCUGCGAUAAGCUACGGGGAGCUGCACACGAGCGUUAUAUCCGUAGAUUUCCGAAUGGGACAACCUGAUAUGCUGAAGGCAUAUCACCCGCCGCAAGGCGGGAGCCAACCCCGAGAACUGAAACAUCUAAGUACCGGGAGGAAAAGAAAACAACAGUGAUUCCCCAAGUAGUGGCGAGCGAAAAGGGAAUAGCCCAAACCGGGUCGGCGUGCCGAUCCGGGGUUAUAGGACUGCAUUUAGAAAGCAUUAUCAAACUGAAUCAUCUGGAAAGAUGAGCCAUAGCAGGUGAUAGCCCUGUAAGUACAAAUUAAUGCGGACGAGCAGUAUCCUGAGUAAUGCGGGACCGGAGGAAUCUUGCAUGAAGUUGCCAGCACCAUCUGGUAAGGCUAAAUACUCCUCAGACACCGAUAGUGAACCAGUACCGUAAGGGAAAGGUGAAAAGCACCCCGAACAGGGGAGUGAAAUAGUACCUGAAACCGUGCGCCUACAAGCGGUCGGAGCUCUGCAAUAUGAGUGACGGCGUGCCUUUUGCAUAAUGAGCCUACGAGUUACUCCUAACUGGCGAGGUUAAGUUCAUAUUUAACGGAGCCGAAGCGAAAGCGAGUCCAAAUAGGGCGAUUAGUCAGUUGGGGUAGACGCGAAACUUUGUGAUCUAUCCAUGGGCAGGUUGAAGGUUAGGUAAAACUAACUGGAGGACCGAACCCGUUGACGUUGAAAAGUCUUGGGAUGACCUGUGGAUAGGGGUGAAAGGCCAAUCAAACUGAGAGAUAGCUCGUUCUCCCCGAAAUGUUUUUAGGAACAGCGUUGCAUAUAGAAGUUUAUUAGAGGUAGAGCUACUGAUUGGGCUAGGGGGCUUCACCGCCUACCAAACCCUGACAAACUCCGAAUGCUAAUAAAUAUCUGCAGCAGUGAGGCUUUGGGCGCUAAGGUCCAGGGCCGAGAGGGAAAUAACCCAGAUUAGCAACUAAGGUCCCUAAUACGUAGUUAAGUUGAUCAAACGAGGUGGGAUUUCUAUAACAGCCAGGAUGUUGGCUUGGAAGCAGCCAUUCAUUUAAAGAGUGCGUAACAGCUCACUGGUCGAGAGAUCCUGCACGGAAAAUAAUCGGGCAUCAAACUACGAACCGAAGUUCUAAACCCGCCCUAGGCGGGUGGUAGGGGAGCAUUGAAAUCUGCACAGAAGGUGUACGGCGACGUAUGCUGGAGCGAUUUCAAAAGAAAAUGUAGGCAUAAGUAACGAUAAUUAAAGUGAAAAACUUUAACGCGAAAAGUCUAAGGUUUCCUGAUCAACGUUAAUCGGAUCAGGGUUAGUCUGGUCCUUAGGAAAACCCGAAAGGGGCAUCUGAUGGAAAGCUGGUUAAUAUUCCAGCACCUGCUAUGCAUUAAAAGUGACGCAGGGACGUGGUGGUUGCGUACGGACGGAAGUGUACGCCUGAGUGGAGUCUUCGGACAAAGCGAAACCAUAAAAUCCCUGCCAAGAAAAGCGAGUAUAGCAGCCAGUACCGGAAUCCGACACAGGUAGACGGGAUGAGUAUUCUAACGCGCUCGGGUGAGCCGUGGAGAAGGAACUAGGCAAAUUGACGCUGUAACUUCGGGAUAAAGCGUACCAGCCGCAAGGCUGGUCACAGUAAAAUGGUUCAACCAACUGUUUAACAAAAACACAGGGCCCUGCAAAAACGUAAGUUGACGUAUAGAGCCUGAAACCUGCCCGGUGCUGGAAGGUUAAGGAAGGGUGUUCGGCGCAAGCCAAAGCUCCUGACUGAAGCCCCAGUAAACGGCGGCCGUAACUAUAACGGUCCUAAGGUAGCGAAAUUCCUUGUCGGGUAAGUUCCGACCUGCACGAAUGGUCUAAUGAGUUGAACACUGUCUCCUCCACGAGCCCGGUGAAAUUGUAGUAUCGGUGAAGAUGCCGGUUACCCGCCACGGGACGGAAAGACCCCGUGAACCUUCACUACAACUUUGCAUUGAUUUUGAGCACCAAAUGUGUAGGAUAGUUGGGAGACUAUGAAGCAGUGUCGCCAGGCAUUGUGGAGUCAUCGUUGAAAUACCAACCUUUUGUUGCUUAGAACCUAACCCCUAACGGGGGACAUUGCAUGGUGGGUAGUUUGACUGGGGUGGUCGCCUCCUAAAAAGUAACGGAGGCUCGCAAAGGUACCCUCAGUACGGUUGGUAAUCGUACGUAGAGCGCAUUAGUAAAAGGGUGCUUGACUGUGAGGCAAACACGCCGAGCAGGAGCGAAAGCUGGCUAAAGUGAUCCGGUGGUUCUGCAUGGAAGGGCCAUCGCUCAAAGGAUAAAAGGUACUCCGGGGAUAACAGGCUGAUCUUACCCAAGAGCUCAUAUCGACGGUAAGGUUUGGCACCUCGAUGUCGGUUCGUCACAUCCUGGGGCUGGAGAAGGUCCCAAGGGUUCGGCUGUUCGCCGAUUAAAGUGGCACGUGAACUGGGUUCAGAACGUCGCAAGACAGUUCGGUCCCUAUCUGUGGUGGGCGCUAGUAAAUUGAGUGGACAUGACCUUAGUACGAGAGGACCGGGUCGUACGUACCGCUGGUGUAUCUGUUGUGCCGCCAGGUGCAAUGCAGAGUAGCUAUGUACGGACAGGAUAAACGCUGAAAGCAUCUAAGCGUGAAACCUUCCACAAGAUGAGUUUACUUUUAAGGGUCGUCAAAGACUAUGACGUUGAUAGGCUAUAGGUGUAAAGCUGGUAACAGCAAAGCCAAGUAGUACUAAUUGCCCGUAAGCUUUAUUUUU
rnacentral:rRNA from 1 species